UCAUCCUCUUUCGACCAUGGCGGUGAGUCCGGUGUCGUGUGCGGGAGCAUCGGGGACCAUCCACUGCCAUCCUUCGUCGCUGGGCUCUCCCGCCGCAUCGGCGUCCCGUGUGCAGCGCGGCCUUGCCCCCACCCUCCUCCUUAGGUCGGGCCCGGCCCCGGCAGCGUCCUGGCAUAGAAGGUGAUCCCGGGGCGUGGGAUGGCAGGGGUCCUGGGUGUUCCAGAGCUCACCCAUCUGAUGGAGAAACCCAGCAGUUACUCUGUGGGAAAAGGUGAGAACCUUUGAGCCCUGUCCCAAGGGCUUCAGCUUGCUUCCCAUGGGACCUGAGUUGUGGGGAAGCUGCAGUAUGGAGCCUGUCUAAGCAGAGGGUGAGCCAUCCCUGAGGGACUGCGUGCUGCGGUGCCAGACUGUUCUUUCCCAGCCUUCUCCUCCAGAAGUGGGAGCUCUGCAGAUCCUGGCUCCUUCCUGAGCAAUGAGCUCCACCAGGUGGGUUCAGCCUCCUCUGGGCUCCGCUCUUCUGCAGUGGAAGGAGAUGGAACUGGUUUGGCCCCAGCUGUUGCACAAGCUCCCAUUCACAUGCUCCACAUGGAAGAACAGUUCUCAGGAGGGGUCUGGAUAUCAAAUACUUGGAUAUAGCAGGGACCUAGUAAUGCCAAGGUGGGUGGUGGAUUUGAUCCCUGUAUGGGCCAUUCACUUAAGAACUGGACUCUCUGAUCCCUGUGGGUCCCUUCCUACUUGAAAUAUUGUGUGUGUGUGAUACAAGUUUGAAUAAACGCAAUUACUUUUAA